UACGUAGGCAGCAAGCGUUGUUCGGAAUUACUGGGCGUAAAGAGUGUGUAGGCGGUGCUCUAAGUUCGGUGUGAAAUCUCCCGCUUAACUGGGAGGGUGCGCCGGAAACUGGAGUGCUCGAGCGUGGGAGAGGAAAGCGGAAUUCCUGGUGUAGCGGUGAAAUGCGUAGAUAUCAGGAGGAACACCGGUGGUGUAAACGGCUUUCUGGACCAUAACUGACGCUGAGGCACGAAAGCGUGGGUAGCAAACAGG
rnacentral:rRNA from 1 species